CGCGGUGCCGCCGGCCGCUGGCCAAGUGCCCGCGCCACCAGGCCUUGGCGCCUUGCCGCUGCGUGCCUCAGUUUCCUCAUCUGAAAUGGAGUGCGGCCCAGCGCGGGGGCCCGCGUGGGCGGGGAGGGCCAGCGGGGCUCUGCGCCCAGGGAGGGCGGCGCCUGGGUUCGCAGAGUGUCCCCUGCCAGCCGCGGCCUGCACGGUCGGAGGGACCCCGCCUGCUCCGAGGAACCGCGGGCCUCAUGCUCCCCUGGAGACCUUUGUCUUUACCGGCCAGCCGACUCGGCAAGGCCUCCACGGCUCCUCCAGCUCUCCGCGCAGGCGAGGCAAGGAGCGUGCCCCUCCGCAGGGCCUCUGCCAGGCGGCCGGGCCCUGACGGCGGUCCGCACUGCGCCCUGAGCGAGUUUUCCUGCAGGGCGUCCGCCUGGGUCCCUAAUGAGGGUGGAGGUUCGGAGGCUCUGGGCCGGCGUCGCGGGCUCUGCUGGGGCUGUGGGGCAGCAGCUAAGAAGCCAGCUAGUCUGCCUGGGGUCAGCGAAACUGUUCGGUGAGCCGCUCACCGCCUGUAUGCCCCAGAAAGCCGGGGACGCCAGAAAAUAGGCGCGCUGUUAGUACUGCCUUUGCUACCCAGUCGGCCCAGAUAAUAGGAGGAAGUUACAGAAGUUAGAAGGAUUUGAGGGGAAAGUGCUGUCAGAGUUGGUGGAAAUUGCCCAGAAAAUUUAAUUUAAUAAUAAUAGAGAGGAUCCUGGAACUGUACAGUCAAAAAAGAUGGCCAAGGUACUGCUAACAGCUACGACCAAACAAGAAUAGAAACGGGAAGAGGCAAACCAAGAAUGGGAGUCGCCCCAAAGAAAGGAAGACAUGGGGCACUCUACCAGGAGCGAGGCCUGCUAACAUCAGGAGGCAAGGAGAUAAACAAUAAACUAGAAAUACUGGCCCUGCUGGAAGCCAUCUGGUUGGCAAAACAUGUGGCCAUUAUUCAUUGCAAAGGGCAUCAGACAGCUGCCUCCCCAGUGGCUCAGGGGAAUGCUUUUGCUGCCGCCACAGCUAAAGAAGUUGCACAGAAACCAGUGAGGCCUGCAUAGAUCCUUCCUCUUUGCCAGAAAGACUUUUACCGAAUUCUUCAAACUAUGCUAAGGAAGAAGCAAAAUUAGGGAAUGCUUUAAAGGGUAGGAUUGACCCAGGAGGCUGGAGAAUUCUUCCCGACAAUAGGAUCUUAGUCCCCGAGCAUUUGCGACAAAAGCUAAUUAGACAAAUACAUCAGAGCACUCAUCUGGGUAGCACUACUACUGGGUAGGACUACUAUACUCCUCGGCUCCACCAGAUGCCUUGCCUAUGCCCAAGUCAAUUCAGGUAAAGGACCUAAUUCUUCUCUUGGGACUAGACUGAGAGGGCUGGUGCCAGGAGAACAAUGGGAAGUGGACUUCAUUGAAGUGAAGCCUGGAAAAUAUGGAUACAAGUACUUACUUGUAUUUGUUGAUACCUUGUCCAGUUGGGCAGAAGCUUUUCCUACAAAAACAGAGACAGCACAGGUAGUUGUAAAGAAACUAGUAACAAAUUAUUCCUAGAUUUGGUCUCCCACUAACCAUGGGGUCUGACAGUGGCCCAGCGUUCAUCGCCAAGACAACUCAAUUGUUGGCCAAGGUGUUGAAGGUUAAUUGGAAACUACACUGUGCUUAUAGGCCUCAAAGUUCAGGACAGGUAGAAAGGAUGAAUAGGACUCUGAAGAAACAUUGAGUAAACUCAAGCUGGAGACUGGCGAAGACUGGUCUUUACAGGCCUUACAAUUGAGCACUGGGCAGAUUCCAGACACCGUAAAGGCUGCCUACCUGGGGCCUGCCAAUCCUCCUCAUAAAAAGACUGUUCCAGAUGCAGCCUGGAGACCUUGUUUGGAUAAAGAAGCUCCAACCAGCGACCUUGGAAGACAAGUGGACUGGACCGCUGCCAGUGACCUUCACCACACCAACUGCCCUGAAGGUUGCAGGAAAACGCCACUGGAUUCAUCAUUCACAGGUUAAAAAAGCGUCUCCAGGACAACUGACUGAAGAAUGGACCGUGGGCCCCACUGGAGAUCCGUUAAAGAUGAGACUUUUAAAGCAUUCUUCUGGAGUGCCCUAGUUAUUUUGGUGGGAGGAAGCCCCUAUCAAUCUGCAAAUUAUACUUGGAUGCUUACACGGACUGUAGAUGGCACUAGAGUAACCCAGAAUUCGUCAUUGUCUUCACCAACACUUUAUUUUGACCUUUGCCACCUUUUAGGGGAAAGGUAUAAUAAACAUAGUCGGGGAGCCCCCUUAUCAGGGUGUCCCUGAGUGGGCUAGGCUGGAGCCUGCAUAUGGGUGCAGAUCCAUUAACAUGGAAAAGGGUCUGCGAGGCUCCCAGUAUUAUGCUUGUCCAGCUACAAGCCCCAUACUGUCAGGCAGAAGGGCAUCAUCAUUGUGCCAAAUGGAAUUGUGUGACUAUUGCCUCUUGGGUAAACAAGGACCCUGAUAUCCUAUUUGUGUGGGGAACUCCUACUUGUAAUUCUCUGGGAACUUGUAACCCCAUAACUAUCACCAUUAAGCAAUGGCACAACCCAGCUUGGGCUUCUGGGAAGACUUGGGGUUUUAGACUAUAUGCUACAACAGAGGGUUAUAGUGGUCCAGGAAUCCACUUCACCAUACAAAGACCCACUCUGGUGAGACAGCGCAAUCCUAUAGGCCUGGAUCGUGAAAUAUAUUUGGACCCAGUACUACCAUCUCCACCAUGCCCCACAGGCCUAAAAGUAAUCCCACCUGUGGGGCUGUCCCCACCUAUACGUGGAUUGCUGCCAGUCCCUCGCAGGCAGCCCUUACUUAAUCUACUAGAUUCUGUCUAUAACUUUAUUAAUCAGACUAGACCUAAUAUGACUAGAGAUUGUUGGCUUUGUUUGAACUCCAAACCCCCUUAUUAUGUAGGCAUUGGGGUCAAGUAGUCCUAUUGGCCCCAAGGAAAAUUAUAUUAGGAACUUGACCACUGAGGACACCUAUAAACGACACAUAAAUGGAGUCAAAAGCCCAAAUUAACUUUAAAAGAUCUGGAAGGCACUUGUAUAUGUCCAGAUUUUACCUUGGCCCAAUCCCCUUACACCAAUUCCUUCAAUUCUAUCAUAUAGGUAGAUAAUCUGACAGACCAAGACUUUAAGUCACUUCUGAUUGCACCAGCUGGUACCUGGUUCGCAGGUACUGCUGGAAUCUCUCCGUGUAUAAGGCCCUCUGUAAUUGUACAGGAAUGAGAUCUUUGUGUUCUUUCACAUAUUGUUCCCCAAAUAUAUUUUUACUCCGGGGAUGGAAGAAGAGACCAUUUACAAGCAUCUGCCCUGUGGCACAUAAAAAGAGCUAUACCCAUUUUAGUGCCUCUACUAAUAGGUUUGGGAAUUGCAGGGUCUGCAGCUGUGGGUACCACAGCCCUCAUUACUGAUAACCAAAAUUUCAGAGUUUUAAGUCAACAAGUUGAUUUAGAUCUUAGUGACUUGGAAAUGUAUGUCAGUCAUUUGGAACAAUUGGUUGACUCUUUGGCUGAGGUGGUUUUAUAAAACCAAAAAGGCCUAGAUAUCCUAUUUCUCAAACAAGGGGGCCUGUGUGUUUAUGCCAGUCAUUCAGGAAUAAUCAGAAACAGUCUCUCUCAAUAGAAUACAGGAAAGAGAAGAACAGCAAACAAAGGUUAAUAAUUGGUAUGAAAACCUCUUUUCCUGGUUCCCGUGGUUAACUGCUCUCUUGUCAGCCGUAAGUCAGACCACUAGUUUUAAUCCUUUUGGCCUUGCUAAUUGGUCCAUGCAUAUUAAAUUGUCUAAUGAUUUAUAUUCAAAAAAGAAUACAAAGUGUCAAGUUGAUGGUGUUUUGCACACAUUAUCACCAUGUUUGUGAUGAUGAAUCAAGGAUUUGAUUCUUAUUAUAAAAAAACAGUGGGGAAUGUAGAAGUAGAAGCUGACCUGGUGUUUCCUGUUAUCCCAGACCCUCAGUAGAAAUUCCUAAGGCUUGCAGAAGAGAAAAACAGAGUAAUAAAUCAGAGCCCUUUCUGUAACCUAGUUAAAAUUUUACUAUGUUUGCUCAAUUUAGAAAAGAAUGUGCUGUAACCUUGGCUGAUGUUGUUUGCUUCUGUAACCCAGCUAGCACAAGAAUUGUGAGUAUUGUUAGUGUUGUUAUCAGGCCAGGGAGUUUGAGGCUGGUCGCGGACCCCCACAGCAUGGAAAACAUGAUGUGAUGUUACAAGAUAAUGUUUCAAUUGCUGUGCCUAAAGUCACAAAGCCCCUAACUUAGAAGGGUAUAAAAACCUCCCUGCUGCUUCUGCUGGGGCCUCUCUCUGUACCUGCCAUCUUGGGGAACAGAGGUGGUCGCUGGCCAGCUAAUGAGGACUCACAGUUCAUUUCAAUUUGGUCUGAAGUGGUCAUUUCUUGCACUCCAUAUCAUAACACCCACUCCUAAGGAUUCAUACAAGAGAAAUAACAACUCUGUUCAUAUAAAACCCUAACGUGAAUGUUCACAGCACUCUUAUUCAUAAAUACCAAAAACUGCAAACAACCCAAAUGGCUUUCAACUGGUAAAGGGAUAAACAAAGUGUGAUACAUCUGUAACGGAAUACUACUCAGCAACAAAAAAGGAAUGAACUACUGAUACAUGCAAUAACAUGACUAAAUCUCAAAUGCAGUUUGCUAGG